CUAAAUAUCUCAUUCUUAGGUAUUUGGUGCAUAUACUGUGCAUAGUGUUUCCUGAUCUGAUUUGUAUAAAAUUGCCACCACCUCUUCGUUCUUCGUUCGGUGAGGGUUUCAGGGAUGGGAGGCCAUGCCGCAUCUGUGAGAGAGAGAGAGAGAGAGAGAGAGAGAGAGAGAGAGAGAGGAGUGGGGAUCUCAGCGCCAUUGCUGCAGAUCAUCGAUUUCAUGAAUGGGAGAGGGGGUACAGUCAGAGAAAAGUAUGGGGGCCACCGGGAUUUGAGGAAGAGGGGUAUUUGGCUUAUUUCAUCUGAUUUCUCAAACGCUUUUGCUAAUGAAGAGUGUUCGGUUCUAUGAUUUCUUUUGUUUGCCUCCUUCUAUGUUGCUUUGUCAUUUUUAUUUUCCAGUGUUGGCUCAUGGAAAUUUGUAAAAAUGGCUGCAGUUUUCUGGGAAGGUUAUGUUUUUUGUGUAAUCUCAUUUUGGUAUUUGAUUGAUAGUCGGUGCUCAUAAUUUGGAUUUUUUUUAAUCAAAAUUGUUUGCAGAGAGAGAGAAAGAGGAGAAAGAGUUCGUUCGACGCUUAAACCAGAGCCAGGUAUAUCUCUCAUCUUGCUUUCUCUCUACGAUGUUCUAUCCCAAUUUCUCUUAGACAGUAAGGGUUUUGGUUUGCUUUCUUGGAUUAGAUUUGUAUAUAUCCCUUUGCAUCUCAGUUUUCUCUGAUUUAAUAGUAUAAUUUGGCUCUUGGUAUUCUAACUUUGCUUUCUUUGCAUCAAAGUUGUAUCUGGCUCUUGGUUUUCUUGAUCUAAUUUUUUUUUUUCUAUAAUUAGAUAAAUUAAGGAAAAAAUUUCUAUUAGUAUAUGAGUAUUCGAUUCUCAUAUAUCAUUUUCCUCCAUUUGACAUGAUUUUGGAUUAUUAGCACUUAGGCUUGUUUUCCUCAUUUUUGUUGAAAAAAGGCUUUUAGCUGAGUAAUUUACUAAUUUGGUUUUGAUUAUCAGCUAUAAGAGAAUGGGGGGUUUUAAUUGUAAUUAUUUUAAUGCGGCGAAAUUUUUUAGAUUUUACAGAUUUUUCCAGUUCAGGAUUAUAAAAAUUUAGGGCUUUUAUUUGUUGAUGUGAUUUCCACGUACUCUGAAUUCAAAUAGAAAUGCAAGGAUAUAUUAGAGUUUUAGUGUUUUCAGGCAUUCACGUGUUUGCUUAUUAUAGAUGAUGUAUUUCUGUAGUGCACUAAUAUUUGUUUAAAAAAAAUUAAUUAGUUUUUCCUCCCCGUUGUUUGCUAAGGCGCUUCUCGAGACGGCGUUGGAACGUGCAAGUGAUGAGGAUUCAAGGGAUGAGGAGGAAAUGCCAAAGGAGGAGGAUCAAAACGCGUUCUCUGUUAGGAUAAUUGGUGCCCUGAAUUCUAGAAAGUCUGCACUCACCACUCAUUAAUUAUAUGGUUUGUUCCUUUGGUUUUUAUGGUUUAAAGGUGUUUAAUUUGAUGGUGUUUUUGAUACAUUGUUGAAUAUAUUGUUAGUUUAGUUAUUGAUUGUACCGAGUGUGGUUUAUUCUUUUGAUAUUAAGUAGUUUUUUCAUAUCCCUGAACUCCUUUUCAAGUAGAGAAACGUGAGUUCUUCUAAGAUGUUUAAGUGAGUGUCAAUCAGAGAGUAUUUUGUUCGAAUAUCUGUCCAAACAAAAAAUUUAUUUGGAAUGAAAUAAAUGAAACAACUUUUGAGACUCCCACAUUUGAGAUGUG
rnacentral:lncRNA from 1 species